rnacentral:rRNA from 1 species
UGCAGUUAAAAAGCUCGUAGUUGGAUUUCGGAGUGGGCCAGUCGGUCCGCCGCAAGGUGUGUUACUGACUGGUUUGCUCUUCUUCGCAAAGACUGCGUGUGCUCUUGAGUGAGUGUGCGUAGGAUUUACGACGUUUACUUUGAAAAAAUUAGAGUGUUCAAAGCAGGCUAUUGCUUGAAUACAUGAGCAUGGAAUAAUGGAAUAGGACUUUGGUCCCAUUUUGUUGGUUUCUAGGGCCGAAGUAAUGAUUAAGAGGGACAAUUGGGGGCAUCCGUAUUUCGUUGUCAGAGGUGAAAUUCUUGGAUUUACGAAAGACGAACAACUGCGAAAGCACUUGCCAAGAGUGUUUUCAUUAAUCAAGAACGAAAGUUAGAGGAUCGAAGACGAUCAGAUACCGUCCUAGUUCUAACCAUAAACGAUGUCGACUAGGGAUCAGCGGGCGUUAUCGUACGACCCCGUUGGCACCUUACGGGAAACCAAAGUUUUUGGAUUCCGGGGGAAGUAUGGUUGCAAAGCUGAAACUUAAAGGAAUUGACGGAAGGGCACCACCAGGAGUGGAGCCUGUGGCUCAAUUUGACUCAACACGGGAAAACUUACCAGGUCCAGACAUAUUAAGGAU